rnacentral:rRNA from 1 species
UACGUAGGAUCCAAGCGUUAUCCGGAUUUACUGGGCGUAAAGCGCGUGUAGGUGGUUUGUUAAGUUGGGUGUUAAAUCUCUCGGCUCAACUGAGAGGUGUCGCUCAAAACUAGCAGACUGGAGGACGGUAGAGGAAGGUGGAAUUCCGGGUGUAGUGGUGAAAUGCGUAGAUAUUCGGAGGAACACCAGUGGCGAAGGCGGCUCACUGGCUCGAUACUGACGCUGAGGUGCGAAAGCGUGGGGAGCAAACAGG